rnacentral:siRNA from 1 species
AUGAUAUUUUCUCUUGCUUUAU